rnacentral:rRNA from 1 species
GUGGGGAAUUUUGGACAAUGGGCGCAAGCCUGAUCCAGCAAUGCCGCGUGCAGGAAGAAGGCCUUCGGGUUGUAAACUGCUUUUGUACGGAACGAAACGGUCCUGGCUAAUAUCCGGGGCUAAUGACGGUACCGUAAGAAUAAGCACCGGCUAACUACGUGCCAGCAGCCGCGGUAAUACGUAGGGUGCGAGCGUUAAUCGGAAUUACUGGGCGUAAAGCGUGCGCAGGCGGUGCUGUAAGACAGGCGUGAAAUCCCCGGGCGUAACCUGGGAAUUGUGCUUGUGACUGCAGUGCUGGAGUGCGGCAGAGGGGGAUGGAAUUCCGCGUGUAGCAGUGAAAUGCGUAGAUAUGCGGAGGAACACCGAUGGCGAAGGCAAUCCCCUGGGCCUGCACUGACGCUCAUGCACGAAAGCGUGGGGAGCAAACAGGAUUAGAAACCCCUGUAGUCC